GUACUAAGGUAGCGCGAUAAUUUGUCUUUUAAUUGAAGAAUGGUAUGAAAGGUCUGUCGCAAGUUGCUUGUCUCUGAAAAAGAAAGCGAAGUUUCCUUUUAAAUGAAAAGGUUUAAGUAAAGUAAAAGACGAGAAGACCCUAUUGAGCUUAAUCAGGUUUUAAAUUUUAUGUGUGUUAUUAUUUAAAACUAAAGUGUGGUUGGGGAAAGCUAGAUUUAAGAAAACAAGUCUAUAAUAGGCUGAAGAUCCUCCUCGGGAGAAAUUGGUAAAAGCUACCGUAGGGAUAACAGCGUAAUCUUUCUUGAGAGAUCUUAUUGAGGGAAAGGUUUGCGACCUCGAUGUUGGAUUAGAAAAACUUUUUGGUGCAGCAGCUAAGAGUAGUGAGACUGUUCGUCUCUUAAAUUUCU
rnacentral:rRNA from 1 species